AAUUACCUUUGUAAAAUGAGAGGCCCAAGCACGGCGCCCCAACCCCCCGCCACACCCCCCCACCCCCUACCCCCCAGCUGUAACUGAGUGAAAUUAGAGGCUGUGCAUUGCAUCAUUCAGAUGCUGCCUGACCACUUGGACUCACAGUGCAGCCUAGGACUUCACUGACUGUUAUAAACUGAUAGCAUCCCCCUUCCAAAGAAGACCUUCCUAGUCCUGUAAGCACUGAUCCUAAGCUGCUUUUCCAAUGCUACUUUGCCAUUGGGUGAAGCAAAAUGUCAGAUAAGCUUACUAGCAAAUGUGCCUCUGAGCACAGCCCACUUCUGCAUCCCCAAGACGGCAUCCUUUGUGCUCUGCUGAUGGUGGAGCCAGAAGCCAUGUGAAGUUUGGCCAGAGCCUCUCAGCAGGAGCACCUUGGAGAUUUGCCUUGGCAGGAGGGCUCCUUACCAUGGCUAACACGAGGACAGCCCUGUCCUGAAGAAAAGGCAAUGCCAGUCACCUGCACCUGGCUCGUUGAAAGCGCGUCCCUCUGUGAGCACGGGCGCUGCACGAGCUUCAUGUCUACCUCUCUGUCCAGGAGCCACCCGUUGUUCUUCAGCUUCAGGUCACUGGACCUAAUAUUGAUCAACUAAGAAGAUUCAUAAAGUGAAGAGCAAGGCUGCAUGCCACCAAGAAGCUGUGCGGCAUCCGAAAGGCGUGCCGCCACCAUUGUGUGGCAUAGUGCCUGACUGGAGCUUGCUGCAAGGAUGAGUCCUGAGUACUCACUGUGUCAUGAGAAACCUGGAGGCCUUAUUUGUUCACAGCAUGACUUUGAUGGACAGCACCCCUGCUUCCUGAGCAUCUUAACUUCCAAUAAAAUGGUCUUGAAAGGGAAACUGGGAGCUAGAUCAUCAGGAAAUUGAAAGAGCUUGGAAAGAAGAUUUCUUUUCCAUAAAGCAAUCACUUUCUCAUACUAGCUGUGUCCCAAGAGAAUCAGCAACCCUCCUUUCCUGAGUGAGUACCUGGCAGUCAUCAAGAUCCUCAGAAAAGGAGAAGAAAAUGGAGAAACUUAGGAGAAGAAAGUAAAAGGUGACAGACAAGGAAAAUCGAGCUGUGAAAUGCCACAUUCAUCUGUCCUGGGUCAGGUCGUUGGUUUAUCUUUCUCCUCCCUGCUUCCUUCCACCCUCCCUCCCUCCUUCUGUCCCUCCCUCCCUCUCUCCCUGCUCCCUCCAGGCCACAGUCAUGACACGAUUAUAGCACUGCGAUGGUACCAGGUAGACAGACACUAAAGAUCAAUUUUCUCACUGAUACCGAUCUCCAAAUUUUAGGCAUAUGCCCCAAAUAUCCCCAUCUUUCAUUUAGCAGUGGGGACUUUCAGGACACAUAAAUUAGCUCAGCUUUUCACAAACGUUUUCAUAAUGAGCAAAGCAUCAAAGCCAAGCUUCUGCCAGAAUCAGAGAGAGAGAGCAAAUGAGCUUAACCCCCUAUUCCACAGCUUACUAGCUAUGUGCCCUUGGGCGAUUUCCUUUGUCUCUCUCAGUUUGCCUCAUCCGCAAAUGGGAAUCUUAACACUCUAUUACUUCUCUUCCAAAAUGACUUAGAUCAAUGGCAGGUUUUUAAAUUGAUGUGCAUAUGGAAUGUGUGGUAUUUGUUUUUGCCAGAUGAUAUUAUCAAUUAUAAGACCGAUCCCAAUUUCAGAAAUAUUAAAAUGUACCACAUGUCUAAAAAAUAGAGGAACUACGUAGCAUCUUCCUGGGCUUAAAUGAACCAAGGGCUGCAAAGCGAUUUGCACUGAGCUUGGCAUGUAGCAAGGGCUCCGUGAGUGAGGGCCGCUCUUACUAUUAUUCUCAGGAUAAUUAGGAAGGAUGUAAUUAUGACAUUACAAAAGUUAGGCCAUAUCUGUUAGGAAUUUACACAGUGAGCUUUGAAGCCAUGGAAACUCCUAAAUGAAACUUCCUGUGUUACCUGUUUCUGAGGACACUGCAAAAUGUCACCAAAGCCAGAACUAAGCUUUCGAAGGAAAUUGUUGAAUUUCAAAAUUUGUUUUUAUUCAUAGAUUAAUGCUCCACAUGCUGGGUUGCUGUAGUAGCACAUCAGUGGUAACAACUCUUAAAAUAUAUUUGCUUCCAUUUAAUUAAAGUCGGCCGUGAGGAAUGUAUUCACAAGUGUUGGCCAAGUGUGUGAUUCUUCUGGGGAGUCCUUCAGUCAUUGGCUUAAGUAAGAAGGGGUCUGUGCCACAGAAUCUUCUGGGGCCAGGCCAUCACUGAAAACACGUUUUCCACGACCCAGCCUCUGCAUUCUCUGCUGGCAAGCCCACAGACGCCGAAGACAGGGCUCAGAAACACAACGCAGCUGCCAAAUGGCUUCCCUUCCUCACUGCUUUAUGUUCCCGGGGCCAAAUGGGCCUCAGAACAGACCUGAAAAUCUGUGAGAUGGAAACCGGGAACUGAGCGGUCCCGUGCAGAAAAGAGGCUCCGAGUGUUUACACAACAUCCCCAGGACGUACUGCACUUUCCAGGGCGAGUGUCUUUCCAAAACGCCUGCAGACCCAGCCUGCGUCAGGCACAGCUCCAACUUUCCUGCAAAAAUCGCCUUGCAGGGCCCUUCAUCCUCCUCUCAGUUCAGAAAUGGGGCUGGAGAGUUUCACACACGCAGCCCAGAUAGGCACACGUGUGGGAUCUUGCUGUGUUGCAAUCUCAUGGGGGUAAAACGGCUGCUGAAAUUGGGUAGUCACGGACUUUGGAUUUUUAGAGAAUACCCAAUUCUAAUCCUAAUGGGAAUGAGGAUGACGAUGAUGAUGAUUCUGUGAAGUAGCGAGCUCCAUUUCCCUCACGGUUCAGACCGAAAACCAUCUUUCUUUCCAGAUACUGCAGUGGAACCCUAGGAAAUCAUGGUGUUUUGUGAAAAGCUCCUCAGUCUGUGGGAUGAACCUGGAGCUCCGACAAGGAUAGCUCCAGGCUUCUUUUCAAAUCCUCUGGAGAGGGAAUGUGUGCGAGAGGAAGUCGGGGGGAAGAGCAGAGACAGAAAGAUGUAAAUCACCGUCACUUCAUAAAACGGAGUUUUCUUGUAAUAUGCUUUGGUAAUGUUGAGCUGAAAAUAGAUUGACAAUCAAAAUGGGCUUAAUCUGAUAUUAAAGAAUUCUCUUAAAAUCCCCCAAACAAUUGAGAUUUUUUUUUCCCUUUGGUUUGUUUUGCGUUAGCUCUUCCAAGAGGCUGUGGAUGUAAAGAAAUAUAUUGACAUUAA
rnacentral:lncRNA from 1 species